rnacentral:rRNA from 1 species
CGGAACGUGCCCUGGAGUGGGGGAGUAACGCAGCGAAAGUUGCGCUAAUACCGCAUACGAUCUAAGGAUGAAAGUGGGGGAUUCGCAAGAACCUCAUGCUCCUGGAGCGGCCGAUAUCUGAUUAGCUAGUUGGUAGGGUAAAAGCCUACCAAGGCAUCGAUCAGUAGCUGGUCUGAGAGGACGACCAGCCACACUGGGACUGAGACACGGCCCAG